rnacentral:rRNA from 1 species
AUUUAACGCUGGCGGCAGGCCUAACACAUGCAAGUCGAACGAGUGGCGGACGGGUGAGUAAUGUCUGGGAAACUGCCCGAUGGAGGGGGAUAACUACUGGAAACGGUAGCUCAUACCGCAUCCCAUCGGAUGUGCCCAGUUUGGAUUAUCUAGUAGGUGGGGUAAUGGCUCACCUAGGCGACGAUCCCUAGCUGGUCUGAGAGGAUGACCAGCAACACGGGAACUGAGACACGGUCCAGACUCCUACGGGAGGCAGCAGUGGGGAAUAUUGCAAAAUGGGCGAAAGCCUGAUGCAGCCAUGCCGCGUGUAUGAAGAAGGCCUUCGGGUUGUAAAGUACUUUCAGCGGGGAGGCGUUACCCGCAGAAGAAGCACCGGCUAACUCCGUGCCAGCAGCCGCGGUAAUAC